CCGAGGCGGCGCGAUGGUCUCGCCCGGGGGAGCCACCGCCGCCGCCGGAGCCCGACGGAUCAGCUGGGAUCCGGGCGUGCCACUUUGUUCAGAGCCUCGGAGGCUGGGCGGUGCGUGCUCCUCCCGAGUUCCUCGUGCGAGCCGCCUCUCAGCCCUCCAUCUUCCCAGGACUUUUACGAGAGCUAGCCUGCGCUCCUGGCUGAGGAAGGAGAGCGGGUUUCAGAGUCCUGUGGGGGAGCUUUGCCUCCACCCCCCAGCUGAGACAAAUGAUGAGCCUAGGCUAUGUCUCUUGGGAGAGCUUCGCCUUCACUGCUGGCCCAAUAGGAGUGAGCCAUCAAAUAUGCUCAGUACGAACUGGAAGAGCAGCACUGCCUGCGCAGCCAGGGCUCCUGACAGCAGUGGCUGAGGUGGAGCCACACAAGAAACCUUACUUAACCCCGAA
rnacentral:lncRNA from 1 species